GAGAUGGCGAUGAUUAUAAACAAAAUUCCUCGUUCUGAUUUUGCUCAAUUUGGGCAUGAUAGACUUCUUAUUACACCCAUAGAAUCUGAGCUCUC
rfam:Gossypium arboreum cultivar AKA8401 contig_45562_1, whole genome shotgun sequence.